rnacentral:rRNA from 1 species
CCUACGGGCGGCAGCAGUGAGGAAUAUUGGUCAAUGGACGAGAGUCUGAACCAGCCAAGUAGCGUGAAGGAUGACUGCCCUAUGGGUUGUAAACUUCUUUUAUAAAGGAAUAAAACAAGGCACGUGUGCCUUUUUGCAUGUACUUUAUGAAUAAGGAUCGACUAACUCCGUGCCAGCAGCCGCGGUAAUACGGAGGAUCCGAGCGUUAUCCGGAUUUAUUGGGUUUAAAGGGAGCGUAGAUGGGUUGUUAAGUCAGUGGUGAAAGUUUGCGGCUCAACCGUAAAAUUGCAAUUGAUACUGGUAGUCUUGAGUACAGUUGAGGUAGGCGGAAUUCGUGGUGUAGCGGUGAAAUGCUUAGAGAUCACGAAGAACCCCGAUUGCGAAGGCAGCUUACUAAACUGUGACUGACAUUGAUGCUCGAAAGUGUGGGUAUCAAACAGGAUUAGAUACCCCGGUAGUC